rnacentral:rRNA from 1 species
UACGUAGGGUGCAAGCGUUGUCCGGAAUUAUUGGGCGUAAAGAGCUCGUAGGCGGUUUGUCGCGUCUGCUGUGAAAUCCCGAGGCUCAACCUCGGGCCUGCAGUGGGUACGGGCAGACUUGAGUGCGGUAGGGGAGAUUGGAAUUCCUGGUGUAGCGGUGGAAUGCGCAGAUAUCAGGAGGAACACCGAUGGCGAAGGCAGAUCUCUGGGCCGUUACUGACGCUGAGGAGCGAAAGCAUGGGGAGCGAACAGG